GACGAACGCUGGCGGCGUGCUUAACACAUGCAAGUCGAACGGAAAGGCCCUGCUUUUGUGGGGUGCUCGAGUGGCGAACGGGUGAGUAACACGUGAGUAACCUGCCCUUGACUUUGGGAUAACUUCAGGAAACUGGGGCUAAUACCGGAUAGGAGCUCCUGCUGCAUGGUGGGGGUUGGAAAGUUUCGGCGGUUGGGGAUGGACUCGCGGCUUAUCAGCUUGUUGGUGGGGUAGUGGCUUACCAAGGCUUUGACGGGUAGCCGGCCUGAGAGGGUGACCGGCCACAUUGGGACUGAGAUACGGCCCAGACUCCUACGGGAGGCAGCAGUGGGGAAUACUGCACAAUGGGCGGAAGCCUGAUGCAGCAACGCCGCGUGCGGGAUGACGGCCUUCGGGUUGUAAACCGCUUUCGCCUGUGACGAAGCGUGAGUGACGGUAAUGGGUAAAGAAGCACCGGCUAACUACGUGCCAGCAGCCGCGGUGAUACGUAGGGUGCGAGCGUUGUCCGGAUUUAUUGGGCGUAAAGGGCUCGUAGGUGGUUGAUCGCGUCGGAAGUGUAAUCUUGGGGCUUAACCCUGAGCGUGCUUUCGAUACGGGUUGACUUGAGGAAGGUAGGGGAGAAUGGAAUUCCUGGUGGAGCGGUGGAAUGCGCAGAUAUCAGGAGGAACACCAGUGGCGAAGGCGGUUCUCUGGGCCUUUCCUGACGCUGAGGGGCGAAAGCGUGGGGAGCGAACAGGCUUAGAUACCCUGGUAGUCCACGCUGUAAACGGUGGGUACUAGGUGUGGGGUCCAUUCCACGGGUUCCGUGCCGUAGCUAACGCUUUAAGUACCCCGCCUGGGGAGUACGGCCGCAAGGCUAAAACUCAAAGGAAUUGACGGGGCCCCGCACAAGCGGCGGAGCAUGCGGAUUAAUUCGAUGCAACGCGUAGAACCUUACCUGGGUUUGACAUGGAUCGGGAGUGCUCAGAGAUGGGUGUGCCUCUUUUGGGGUCGGUUCACAGGUGGUGCAUGGCUGUCGUCAGCUCGUGUCGUGAGAUGUUGGGUUAAGUCCCGCAACGAGCGCAACCCUUGUUCACUGUUGCCAGCACGUUAUGGUGGGGACUCAGUGGAGACCGCCGGGGUCAACUCGGAGGAAGGUGGGGAUGACGUCAAGUCAUCAUGCCCCUUAUGUCCAGGGCUUCACGCAUGCUACAAUGGCUGGUACAGGGAGUGGCGAGCCUGUGAGGGUGAGCGAAUCUCGGAAAGCCGGUCUCAGUUCGGAUUGGGGUCUGCAACUCGACCUCAUGAAGUCGGAGUCGCUAGUAAUCGCAGAUCAGCAACGCUGCGGUGAAUACGUUCCCGGGGCU
rnacentral:rRNA from 1 species